UACGUAGGGGGCAAGCGUUGUCCGGAUUUAUUGGGCGUAAAGAGCGUGUAGGCGGCCAGACAGGUCAGCUGUGAAAACUCGAGGCUCAACCUCGAGACGUCGGUUGAAACCGUCUGGCUAGAGUCCGGAAGAGGAGAGUGGAAUUCCCGGUGUAGCGGUGAAAUGCGUAGAUAUCUGGAGGAACACCGGUGGCGAAGGCGGCAUCCUGGACCAACACUGACACUGAAAAGCGAAAGCCAGGGGAGCAAACGGG
rnacentral:rRNA from 1 species